rnacentral:rRNA from 1 species
UACGAGAGGCCCAAACGUUAUUCGGAUUUACUGGGCUUAAAGAGUUCGUAGGCGGCGCAGAAUGUAGGGUGUGAAAGCCCUCGGCCUAACCGAGGAAUUGCGCUCUAAACUACUGUGCUUGAGGAAUCUAGAGGUGAGCGGAACUGAUGGUGGAGCGGUGAAAUGCGUUGAUAUCAUCAGGAACACCGGAGGCGAAGGCGGCUCACUGGGGAUUUUCUGACGCUGAGGAACGAAAGCCAGGGGAGCAAACGGG